rnacentral:rRNA from 1 species
UACGUAGGGGGCUAGCGUUGUCCGGAAUCAUUGGGCGUAAAGCGCGCGUAGGCGGCCCGGUAAGUCCGCUGUGAAAGUCCAGGGCUCAACCCUGGAAAGCCGGUGGAUACUGCCGGGCUAGAGUCCGGGAGAGGCGAGUGGAAUUCCUGGUGUAGCGGUGGAAUGCGCAGAUAUCAGGAGGAACACCUAAGGCGAAGGCAGCUCGCUGGAACGGUACUGACGCUGAGGUGCGAAAGCGUGGGGAGCAAACAGG